ACUGGCUGCUGGUCCAUGCAUAUAUGUCUAUUUAAGGGAUUUGUAAAAUCGUUUGUAGAGAAGGCCAGCAUAGCUGAGAGGAAGAACAAGAAGAGGAGCUGAGUAGCACUCCAACAUUUCAUCGAUCUAUUCCAUCGUCGCCUUCGUCGCUGCAACGAGUAAACUAUUGCGCCGCUUAUAGCCAAGGACUGCAGAUCCGCUGUGUUUUGCAUAGGUGAAACAGUAAUCUUCUUUUUUCCCGGAAAUACUUGAACCUGGACAGAAUUUCUAGAUCCUCACCAGGAAAACAAAGAGGCCAAGCUUAUCAUUGACAUAAAGCUGCAGAUAUGGAUGUCGAUGAUAUCUUCAUCAAUUUACCUAACGGCGCAACCACUGAUAUCGCGGGCGUUAUCAUGUAUGUUAGCCCACUAGACCACGAGACAUAUUUCCCGGUAGGAAUGAGGGAAGUAGCAGUGGUGGACUCCACUAAUCACAUUGUGUUCCUCCGCAUUUUUGAUGAACUUGCUCAGAGGCAUGAAGAACAACUAUUGACUGGUGAAAAGCAUUAUUCAUUUGUCAUGGCAACCUCUAUGCAAGUUGAUCAAGCCUCAAGAAGUCUUUUAAGUACAUCGGCAACCAUAAUUACGUUCCAUCGAUGCUCAGCAUGUCAUCACUUUGACAUGCUUGAAGAUGACUAUAAUUUUUUAUUACUGAUUCACCAUUCCUGAUAAGAACUAGAUGUCUAAUUAUUUCAUGUUGUAGGUGUGCGUGAACGAAUUUGUAAUGACUUGUAUUCCGGUGAAGCGGUAAAAAAUGUUGUUCUUUUAAGGAGGGAUGCUCAGAAGACGGCCAAUGAGUACAAUGGAGUUCAACUACCUGCCCAAGCUUCUUCGAUCAAACACAUCUUUAAACAUCUGACGCAAAGUACACCCCACAUCGCGCCAGCUCAAGUUAACAAGUUUGAUGAGGUUGAUUAAGCAUAUAGGUCAAGAAUAAAUUUUCCUCGCGAAAAGUUUAGUUUUGUUAUUGUUAUUAUUUCUUUCCCAAUGUUGCAAAAGUAAAGGUAGCAUGUUCUUCUAUUCACACUAUGUCCCAGUCUGUAUCUGCUAGGUUAACAACUUCCAAUCCAUCCACAGCAUGGGAAAUAAAUGUACGGAAUAAGCUUGUACCUGUACUGCUGUUGUAGCCAAAUGUUCUCUGUGCUCACUUAAUGCAGUAAUUUCUUGACAGCAA